UACAGAGGUCUCAAGCGUUGUUCGGAUUCAUUGGGCGUAAAGGGUGCGUAGGCGGCGGGGCAAGUCAGGGGUGAAAUCCCGGAGCUCAACUCUGGAACUGCACUUGAUACUGCAUUGCUGGAGUACUGGAGAGGAGAUUGGAAUUUACGGUGUAGCAGUGAAAUGCGCAGAUAUCGUGAGGAAGACCAGUGGCGAAGGCGACUCACUGGA
rnacentral:rRNA from 1 species